AUUGAACGCUGGCGGCAGGCCUAACACAUGCAAGUCGAGCGGUAGAGAGGUGCUUGCACCUCUUGAGAGCGGCGGACGGGUGAGUAAUACCUAGGAAUCUGCCUGGUAGUGGGGGAUAACGUUCGGAAACGGACGCUAAUACCGCAUACGUCCUACGGGAGAAAGCAGGGGACCUUCGGGCCUUGCGCUAUCAGAUGAGCCUAGGUCGGAUUAGCUAGUUGGUGAGGUAAUGGCUCACCAAGGCUACGAUCCGUAACUGGUCUGAGAGGAUGAUCAGUCACACUGGAACUGAGACACGGUCCAGACUCCUACGGGAGGCAGCAGUGGGGAAUAUUGGACAAUGGGCGAAAGCCUGAUCCAGCCAUGCCGCGUGUGUGAAGAAGGUCUUCGGAUUGUAAAGCACUUUAAGUUGGGAGGAAGGGCAGUUACCUAAUACGUAAUUGUUUUGACGUUACCGACAGAAUAAGCACCGGCUAACUACGUGCCAGCAGCCGCGGUAAUACGUAGGGUGCAAGCGUUAAUCGGAAUUACUGGGCGUAAAGCGUGCGCAGGCGGUUUUGUAAGUCUGAUGUGAAAUCCCCGGGCUCAACCUGGGAAUUGCAUUGGAGACUGC
rnacentral:rRNA from 1 species